UGGCGGCGGCGGCGACUGGAACGCACGGUUUCGGCCCCGGUAGCCCCUGCACAUUCCCUCGUGUUUGGGCCACAGCUCGCGGUAGUGUCCCCUUUCCCACGGGGCCCCGCCGCCCUGAGUUCAUCUUCGGGCGCUUGUCCGCGUCCUCGCCCCUCACCUGAGCCCGAACUUCGCGCGGCCGUCGCCUGACAGCCCUGGCGGGUGUGGAGACCCCUGCGUGGACCCGGGACCGCGGGCCUCGGCCGGGGCGGCGGGAGGGACGCCGGAAGUAGCGGGCAGUGCCGCAGCGCAGGUCACCAGCCGUGUGGUUUCCCUUCCACAGGAACCCUUCACACGGGGAACGCGUGUGCGUCUGUCCGCUCCUCCGGAAAUGGCCAAGUGAGAAGUGAAACAGAAAGAGAAAGACUAUCAAUCCUUUGAAGAAUUUAACAAGCUUCAGAAAAUUGAAGUGAAAGUGUGUGGCAGAAGCCUCUAGGAUAAGGGACAUGGGAAGCAGGGACAGUGUGGUAUGCUGGCGUGAUGUUAUCUCUCCUGGAACUUUGAUUUGCCUUGAGUCCUUACAGAACUUCUCGUGCGAGGAACUGAGGGUUUACAGAGACCUUGGAUACAAUUGAAGAUCCAUACAGGUAUAAAAUCACACUUACUGAUAUGAGGGAGAUGGACAAGCAAUACCUGCUACAACUCCCACAAACAUCCCUUUCAAAAGUUACUCAACAUCAUUCUUUGUUCUCUUAAAAUACAUUUUCUUGCCCUAUUCCCUUUAGUCUUGUGCAAG
rnacentral:lncRNA from 1 species